rnacentral:lncRNA from 1 species
UGGCUGGCGACAUUUAACUACUGACAGACAGUGAGAGACUGAAACUCCCACGAAAACCUCUGUGCAGUCGAGGAGCUUGAAAUUGCUACGGAAUCAUGGAACGGUGGCGAAGACGGGGCUGCGGAUUGUGUGGUCUGGGUUACAAUGACUUCUCGCCUGGCACUGGAUAAACGACAGUCGGCAGGAGACGUUCGCGCCUCCCUGACCUUAUCAUUUGGUGGAUCGUAUAAGAUGUUCAGGGAGUCCAUUUGGCAAGAGUACUAGCCGCUGGCGGAACGCUCGAUGACCUUGAUGACUCGGAAUCCGGCUGCACGCUUGUCUGUGUGUUUCGUUGCGUCAUCCAACACCUUUUCUUGUUUGUGGUGCUACUUCCUGCAAUAACGUCUGCAAUUCUGGUCAUGGUUCUGUGCACUUUGAAAUCGACAUAGCCACAAAUCGUGGAGUGUCAUAGGAUUACAUAGACUGUUGAGGGGUUCCGAUUAAUGCUCAGUGUGUGCCAACGGCGUUUAACUACGGCAAGGAAUCAUGCUUUACUCUUGGCUCGCUGUACCAGUGGGGGAAAUAUUCUCUUCAUGCGUAUGUUCCACAACGUCCUCUAAUGUUUGCGGACAAAGAUCCGAUGACUGCUGGUAUUGUCCUCUCGAAUGUAGAGUGGCCGAGAUAGGUGCCCCAUUGCGUUGGUGGUUUCGUCGCCCUUUUUCAGAGCACUCUCGACUGUUAUUUCGUUUCCUUGUGAACGAGUCCACGCGGCAUCCAUCGCUCUGUCAUACGUAUAUCGUGGCGUUACUGCACUCUUGGAUCUUUUUAGCAGUCACAAACACGCGACAGAUAACGUCUGCGCAGCACGUCUUGGCUCCUUCCAAGCUACAUGUUCCUCCAUCUUGCGCAUCCGUGACGGCCGUGUCCACGUUUUGCUCGAAACAUGUUGGAGAAGUUAUUCAAUUUGCCUGGCAUCAGCUCAUCUUCCGUUCCUGUGAAAUAAGCCAGAGCUUCCCUCCAGCUCUAAUUAGCUACCCAAAUCAAGGAAGAGCGGCGAAGGCGUCUCGACCGCCACGCCGAGCUGACGCCGCCGAACAUGUUGAAUGCUCGUGUGCCUCCACUCUUGCACAUACAUUUUUUUUCUCCGAAGCGAGUAGAAAAUUCGCCUUUGCCAGCUGUUUGUUUGAGAUCCGGUGUUUGUGAUUCUCGGAAGCCAUCCAAGGAGC